rnacentral:rRNA from 2 species
UUCGCUGCCCGCGACGUUGUGAGAAGUCCACUGAACCUUAUCAUUUAGAGGAAGGAGAAGUCGUAACAAGGUUUCCGUAGGUGAACCUGCGGAAGGAUCAUUG